UCUUCUCCCUUUUUAUACAAGGAAACAAGUCCAUAUUUGAAGUAAGGCCAUCUCUCUCUCUCUCUCUCUCCAUCCAUUCCUUUGUUUGGUGAAUUUGCAGAGUGAAUUGCGCAGGGAGAGACUUCUAAAACAAACAGUUCUAUUUAUCAAGGUUUUGAAGCUAAACUGGACGCUUCUUGUUCUGCAACUGCAAAACAAUAGGAAAAGAAGACAUGGGUGUUGCUGAUCAAGAAGCGAUCGAACAGUUUCGAGCUUUAAUGGACCAAUUAGAUGAGCCGCUUAAAAAUACAUUUCAGGUCAGUGUUUCUUCCCUUUACGGGUUUUAUUGAUCUGUUUCCUUUUUGGUUGCUAUCAACCAAAAAAAAUCAAACAGCAAUGGGGAAGGAAGAGGAUUUGGGACUUGAAAUUUAAAGAUUAAGCUCAGUUCACAGUUACCGAGUUUAGUUUACCUCCUUUUUUUCGGGGUUAAUUGACGGGGACAGGAGCUGGGGACGUGGCAUGGAGAUGGGAUUUGAUAUAGUUUGGUAGCAAUGCUAGGUCUUAAUUCAUUUGUUAUUGCCUUUCUUUGUUGCUCAGUCUUAUUGGUUUCCCUUUUUCUUUUAUAGAGGUGCAAUGUGUGUCAUCUGAUAUUACACUCCUUCUGAUUCAUUGAUUUCUGUGAUGCUAACAUUUUGAUUACAAAUGCAUGUAUUGUUCGAUCUGUAUGGUAGCUGUUGAUACUGGGAAUAGACUAAAGAGGAGUUUUUAUGCA